AGGACGAACGCUGGCGGCGUGCCUAACACAUGCAAGUCGAACGAGUCCAGACCUUCGGGUUUGAGGCGAGUGGCGGACGGGUGAGUAACACGUGAGCAAUCUGCCCCUGUGUGGGGGACAACCCGGGGAAACCCGGGCUAAUACCGCAUGGUCAGGUUUUUCUUUUGAAGAGCCUGGGAAAGACGGCCUCUUUACAAUGCUGUCAUGCAGGGAGAGCUCGCGGGCUAUCAGCUAGUUGGUAGUGGUAACGGCCUACCAAGGCGACGACGGCUACGGGGUCUGAGAGGACGACCCCGCACAUUGGAACUGAGACACGGUCCAGACUCCUACGGGAGGCAGCAGUGGGAAUUUGGGCAAUGGCCGAAAGGCUGACCCAGCGACGCCGCGUGCGGAUGACGCCUCUCGGGGUGUAAACCGCUGUCAGAGGGAAGAAGUAGCGCAAGGGUAAAUAAGUUUCUGCGUGUGACGGUACCCUCGAAAGGAAGCACCGGCUAACGUCCGUGCCAACAGCCGC
rnacentral:rRNA from 1 species